UGGCGGACUGGUGAGUAACGCGUGAGGAACCUGCCUUUCAGAGGGGGACAACAGUUGGAAACGACUGCUAAUACCGCAUGAUGCGUAACUGGGACAUCCCGGAUACGCCAAAGAUUUUAUCGCUGAAAGAUGGCCUCGCGUCUGAUUAGAUAGUUGGCGGGGUAACGGCCCACCAAGUCGACGAUCAGUAGCCGGACUGAGAGGUUGACCGGCCACAUUGGGACUGAGAUACGGCCCAGACUCCUACGGGAGGCAGCAGUGGGGAAUAUUGGGCAAUGGGCGCAAGCCUGACCCAGCAACGCCGCGUGAAGGAAGAAGGCUUUCGGGUUGUAAACUUCUUUUAAGUGGGAAGAGUAGAAGACGGUACCACUUGAAUAAGCCACGGCUAACUACGUGCCAGCAGCCGCGGUAAUACGUAGGUGGCAAGCGUUGUCCGGAUUUACUGGGUGUAAAGGGCGUGCAGCCGGGCAUGCAAGUCAGAUGUGAAAUCUCAGGGCUUAACCCUGAAACUGCAUUUGAAACUGUAUGUCUUGAGUGCCGGAGAGGUAAUCGGAAUUCCUUGUGUAGCGGUGAAAUGCGUAGAUAUAAGGAAGAACACCAGUGGCGAAGGCGGAUUACUGGACGGUAACUGACGGUGAGGCGCGAAAGCGUGGGG
rnacentral:rRNA from 1 species